UAAGGUGCCCAAGUUCAUAAAGGUGAGGUGUGUUAGUUAAUUAAGGUACCCAAGUUCAUAAAGGUGACGUGUGUUAGUUAAUUAAGGUACCCAAGUUCAUAAAGGUCAGGUGUGUUAGUUAAUUAAGGUACCCAAGUUCAUAAAGGUCAGGUGUGUUAGUUAAUUAAGGUACCCAAGUUCAUAAAGGUCAGGUGUGUUAGUUAAUUAAGGUAUCCAAGUU